UACGUAGGGGGCAAGCGUCGUCCGGAUUCAUUGGGCGUAAAGAGCGUGUAGGCGGCCAGGUAGGUCGGUUGUGAAAACUGGAGGCUCAACCUUCAGAGGUCGACCGAAACCAUCUGGCUAGAGUCCGGGAGAGGAGAGUGGAAUUCCUGGUGUAGCGGUGAAAUGCGCAGAUAUCAGGAAGAACACCCGUGGCGAAAGCGGCUCUCUGGAACGGUACUGACGCUGAGACGCGAAAGCGUGGGGAGCGAACAGG
rnacentral:rRNA from 1 species